GUUGGUCCAUUGAUUGAUGGUGCUUGCACCUGAUUGAUCUUUGUCGCCAACGAGUGGCGGACGGGUGAGUAACACGUAGGUAACCUGCCCAGAAGCGGGGGACAACAUUUGGAAACAGAUGCUAAUACCGCAUAACAACGUUGUUCGCAUGAACAACGCUUAAAAGAUGGCUUCUCGCUAUCACUUCUGGAUGGACCUGCGGUGCAUUAGCUUGUUGGUGGGGUAAUGGCCUACCAAGGCGAUGAUGCAUAGCCGAGUUGAGAGACUGAUCGGCCACAAUGGGACUGAGACACGGCCCAUACUCCUACGGGAGGCAGCAGUAGGGAAUCUUCCACAAUGGGCGCAAGCCUGAUGGAGCAACACCGCGUGAGUGAAGAAGGGCUUCGGCUCGUAAAGCUCUGUUGUUAAAGAAGAACACGUAUGAGAGUAACUGUUCAUACGUUGACGGUAUUUAACCAGAAAGUCACGGCUAACUACGUGCCAGCAGCCGCGGUAAUACGUAGGUGGCAAGCGUUAUCCGGAUUUAUUGGGCGUAAAGAGAGUGCAGGCGGUUUUCUAAGUCUGAUGUGAAAGCCUUCGGCUUAACCGGAGAAGGGCAUCGGAAACUGGGAAACUUGAGUGCAGAAGAGGACAGUGGAACUCCAUGUGUAGCGGUGAAAUGCGUAGAUAUAUGGAAGAACACCAGUGGCGAAGGCGGCUGUCUGGUCUGUAACUGACGCUGAGGCUCGAAAGCAUGGGUAGCGAACAGGAUUAGAUACCCUGGUAGUCCAUGCCGUAAACGAUGAAUGCUAGGUGUUAGAAGGGUUUCCGCCCUUUAGUGCCGCAGCUAACGCAUUAAGCAUUCCGCCUGGGGGAGUACGACCGCAAGGUUGAAACUCAAAGGAAUUGACGGGGGCCCGCACAAGCGGUGGAACCAUGGUGGUUUAAUUCGAAGCAACGCGAAGAACCUUACCAGGUCUUGACAUCUUCUGCCAACCUAAAAAGAUUAGGCGUUCCCUUUCGGGGACAGAAUGACCAGGUGGUU
rnacentral:rRNA from 1 species